CUCCGCUGCAGCCAUCACUGCUGUGCUAGGCAUGGUGGCAUUGGUGAUGGUGGUGGAGUGGACAGGGGUGUCAGCAUGAACCUAGCAUCCCUCUAUCAUUGCACAUGAGUCUGGGUUUAUGUCCUGGCCAUUAUAUGGAGUCUAAGGGCAUCUCUGUGAUGUGUAGACUUUUUCCACACUUAUAAGGAUGUGGGCAGAAGAAAGCAGAAGAAAGACUUCUCUUCUCCAGUCCUCAAAUGAUGCAUAACUAGCAUCCUCUCAUAGUUUCAAGGAGGAGAAAAAAGGCAGACUGAAAUAGAGACAAGGUAUCAUUUGAAAUCGAUUCUAUUCGCUGUCAGUGUAAAGCAAAGCAGAGAUUAAGCAUCUACUCUUCAUUGUGUAACAGUUAUGACUUUGGCUAUGAUAAGUGCAACUCUAUUUUAGUACGUUUCUUUGGUGCCUACAUAUACAAUAAAGGCUCUACUCCACAGCUGCUACACCUUUAAAUGGGUGACAUGUGAAAAAAUUGCUGUCUUGUUUGUGUCAGACAGCCAUUUCCCUCUAAAAUACUUCUUGUUAUUCCAUAUUUAAUAAGUGCCCACUGAGUGCUGGGCAGUGUCCAAGACACAGCCACAGUCCCCGCCCACACACAUGCAUGUGCCAAAGCAAUUUGGCAAUCGGUGCUGUGAUGUGCUUCUCUGACCAUCGUGGAUGGCUUUCUUCUGAUACAAAGAGUGUCAACAGCAACCCAGCUGUAGAUUUCUUCCAAGAAAGCUAUAAAAGAAAUUGAAUGCAUUUUGUUUGCUUAGUGAAUUAUAAAAGAAACCAUAACAAUGACUUGAUAGUACAUAUAAAGACAUUACAAUUGCCAAGUACUUUCACAGCAGCUCUGUGUCAUUGACUCUUACAUUUUUUUUUUUGAGUUAUUCAAGGCAGAUAUUACUAUCUCCCUUAUCCUCUGAGAGGUGAAGGGACUUUUCCAAGAAUAAGAAGUAAAUGGCAGAGCCAGGAGGAGAUUCCCACUAUUCUGAUAUUUCCUCCCAACCCCCAACCCUCAAGAUAUCACAAAGUCUCUCAUUAGCUAAGAAGUUUCCAAGUAUAAAUUGUGAAAUCUUGUAUUUUAAUCUUACUUUCUUUCAUAUGGGUAACAGAUCCUAGGGAAUAGUCCUUUAAAUUGUCUUUUCCAUCUGUAAAAAGUUUACUCUACAAAAUCUUUAUGUAUAGAUCAGUCACUAUUUACCAAAGUUUUGGAAUACAUAAACCAACUAGGAAAAGCUUAGUUAAAUAUAAUUAAAAUUCUUUUGGGCUGUGAUUAUCUGAAAAAUGGCACCAUUUUCUAAAAAUAGUGUUUUGCCUUUAGGCAUUAAUUUGAUUUAAACAUUUAGAAUCACCUUUAAUUAUACACACACACAUACAGAGAGAGAGAGAGGGAGAGAGAGAGAGAGAGAGAGUGUGUGUGUGUGUGUGUGUGUGUGUGUAAUCACCAAGUUCCCUAGAGUUCCACAGAACAUGAAUAAACAUAUGGACUGUUCUCUUACACCUACUCCACAAGUCUGAGUAUUGAGGAUUUAUAUAGUUAGAGACUAUGUGGUGUAAAUAUGUAUAAAUUUAUAUUGUGUUAAUUUAUGGCAUGCGGUACAGAAGGCUGUUUGCAAGUUGCAGUGUACUUCUUCCCACGUUUAUGCUGAAAUAUCAUUUCUGGGUUCCUUCCCCAUGUUUUCCUUUGUCUCCCCACAGAUGUUUGGGCAGCUUGUUUUCAGGGGAGUGAAUACAUCUUGGAAGUAUGCUUGCGGAAUGCAAUUCAGGUGAAGAAUGCACUAUCUCUAUUGGGAUUUGGCUGAAGGAUAUUCCCCCUUCGCCUUAUGUCCUGCCCGCUUCUGUUAUGAAGACAAUUGCUCCAGGGUAGCCACACUCUUGGGGGCUGCCAUUUCCUGGCCUGGGUGUCCUCAAGGUCCAUAGAGCGGUUCUAAGUAGGUGAGUGGCAUUUCAUUAUUUGUAAAAGGAAAAAGAAAAAAACAAAACCCUACACAUCAAAAUUCCUUUAUGGCUGUUUGCCAAAGAAGCUGAGUUUUUACUAGAGGGGCUCCGAGAGAGUCCACCUCUAGUUAUCUGUGGUUCUGUUGAAGGGGAAAGAGCGGUCAUAGAUGAAUGAAGUUCACAGAGUGCUUACAAACCACAGCUUAUUUAACCUGCUCUUUCACCGGUGUAAAUUGUUAAAAAGUACUCAUAUCGACUUAUUUGACUUAAUCAAUCUUCUUUCCUGGUCCUCCCAUGGGGAGGUGUGCUAAUGGGUAACGGAGAUUGAGAAGGAGGCAGUGGGCAGGAAGAGGAAGGAAAACAGAGCCCCAAACUGAGUCGACAGCCCCUGAAUGAAUAAAAAUCUGGCAGCGGAUGGAGAGGGGUUUGACUCAUCCAUGAAUGCUCUAGCACGAGGCUACUGCUUUCACAGACACUGUCUGUUUCUCCAAAUUUAGGGGAAAUUAGUGAGGAAACUAUUUUUAGACUGUUUACUUCUCCUCUGCCCUUACAAUGGCGCUGCUUAUGAAAUUUGAGGACAGACCUAUUGAGAGACUAAUGGAGUCAUCUGCCAUAGAGAUUAGACAAGGAUUUAUGGAUCAAAAGAAUUGCUCUGCAGGUUUCUUUUAAGCACUAUGAAUUCACCAGCCCUUGCAAUGACCCAACAAUGGCAAACUAACAUUUGUGCAGUCCUUUAAUAUUUUAACACUUAAAAAAUAUGUACAUGUAUAUAUAUAUAUAUAUGUAUGUGUAUGUGUAUAUAUAUACAUACUUUGCCACAUCAACUCUUUGCAACUGUCUGGUAAGGUUCAAACUUUUCAGCAGAGAAAGAAAGGAAAUUAUAAGUGAGUGUCCUAAGGUCACAUACUUGGAAAAUGUCAUUGGUGUAAUUCAAACCCUAAUCAUCUUUCCAACAUAAAGGUGCUGAGUGGUUGCACUUGAGCAUUGUGAGUUGGGUGAAAAACCAAGUCUAAAAUAUUUACUGAAAUCUAAGUUUUGCCAGCUUAUCUGGUACUCUUGCCUUUUUCUCCAUUGUCUUGCACUUCUCUGGACUUUAUUAUUCAACUUUGGCCACACCCAGUGAAAAUGCAGGUAUACACGUUCAGUUGGGAAAGAAUUUUCACACCAGGGAGUCAUACAAAAAUGACAAAAACGUGUUUGGGUGGAUUUUGGUCCAAGAGUUGUUUAAAUGCCGGAGUAGAGUUUGAAAUUUCAGUAGUGAGAAGCCAUAGAAAGAUUAUAGAAAUAAUGAACACCUUCUAAGAAUUUAUAAUUUACAAAACUCUUCGCCUACAAUUUUUCGGUGAGUUCUCCUAACCAUCCUUUAAGGAAGAAGUAGUAUUUUGAUCCCAAUGUUACUUUUCAGGAAGUUGCGGCUUGGAGAAGGUGUGAUUUUACUAGAUUGGGUAGCCAGUCAAUGAUAAAACUCAAUCUGUAAGCCAAGUAGUAAGUAGUGCUUUCAAAGCUUUGAUCAGGGAAUGGCUUACAGAAUGUAGAAUGUAUUCAAAGGAGGGGAAACAUUUAGAAGCUAUUGCAGAAACCCAUGGUGUGGAAUUUUUUAAGUUAGAAAUCUGAAUGCAAACAUCAGCUCUCAGGGCCAUGAUGCGGAUUGUUGUUAUUCUCAGUGUGAUGGAAGCAAAGCGAUGGUCUCUGGAUCUAAAAACAGGUUAAACGCAGGCAUGUGUCUUUCUCUUCAUCUGACAGAUAGAUGAGUAAUUGAUUUCAUUUACCAAACAGGCUGAGCACAACGUAAAAUCAUGCUACUCAUCUAAACUGAAAAAAUUCUCUAUUUUCCAGAAUAGUCUCAGAGCACCAUGUGUGAGAGAACACGACAGAAUAGAAACUGAUUAUGCAAAAUGUGCGAGAGAGAACUGCAGCUCUUGGUGACAUGUGGCAGCCUCAUUGGGAAGGGAGUGCUGUGUAACUCUGGGUGCUGUCUCUGAUGGCCACGUGUCACAAGCUGAAUGGCAAAAGGGGGGUUAAAAACUGAGUUUGUGAAUUGUUGCAUGUAGUCCUCUGAGACAUUCACGUGCCAUGCACACAUGCAAGGAGGUAUCCUGAGAGGCCACUCUCAGCAGCAACACUCACCCACACAGAGGAGGUUAUGCGGGACCAGCAAGAGAUGGCGAAACACUUGGGGAUAGUAUGAGCAGGUAGCUGUUACCAACUCCUAGGUCUGCAGAGGUAAGGAAAAGAAAAAUAGAUAAUUAUAGAAGCGCUUCCUGCCAGGAGCUGCAGCCUUCAAGAGAAGCACACAGCUGUGCCAAUCCAUGGCCCUACAGGAAGGGCACCAGGGAAGUAGAUAGAGUGGGCUCUUUCCUCCCACACUUCCAUCUCCUGCCAGAGCCUCAUGGGCUGAACCCAACUGAGACCCAGAGGAAGAGGAAACCCAGCUGAAGCCCAUAGAAGAAAGUCUCUGAGCCAUCAAGCAGAGUGGAGAAAGCUGGAAAAUAAACCUCAGGAGGAACCAGAGAAUAUUUAGGGCAGAUGACAGUAGUACUUUUAUUUACUAAUAUUUACAUAAAAGGUGCAAAAAUGUAAAUAUCAGCACCACAUUUUUCCAAUAGUUUUCUAUAAGACAAUUGUUUCACUAAAGGUUUGUUGGGAAAGGGAUUCUGUGUUCAAAUAAAUUUGGCCUGUUGUGUAUUUUCUGCUGUUGUAGCCUAAAAUUCAUUAACAUAUUAAAAAUUAUAAGAACUACAGUGAGAAGGCUGUUUAAUUCAUCCUGAAUUUCCCAAACAUAUUUAAUGGCACAAUUUCUUUGCUGUGAGUAACAGCUCUUAAUACCCCCAUGAAACUUUGGGAAAUAACAUAUGAACAGAUUUGAGACUAUGAUACAUACUUUACAAAUCACAACUGAUGAAAAAUUUAUAAUAAAAAGAUUUUAAGGUAGUAAUAGCAAGGAGCCCUACAGGAACAGAAAGCUUAAUAUUAGUAACAGAUGUAAGGUGAGGAUAUCAAUUUUGCCAAUAUAUAAAGGACAAAACUCCCUCACAGAAAUACAAAGAUUCUAAAAAUAAAAAAAAGAAAAUCCAGAAGAAUUAUUGUCUUCUAUAAGUACAUUUAAAACUAAAGAAGGUUAAAAGUAAAAGUUUGGAAAUCACAUGUAAGGAAGUCUUACUUUGAAAUAUACAAAUGUACUUUUCCUUUGAAUUUGCCUCCUGGCUGGGCAUAGAGAGGGCAAGGGGAGGAUGAAAAUAUUAUGACUGAAAUGCAAGAAGAAAGAGUUGGCUGGGCACAGUGGCUCAUGCCUGUAAUCCCAGCACUUUGGGAGGCCAAGGUGGGUGGAUUGCUUGAGCUUAGGUGUUCAAGACCAGCCUGGACAACAUAGUGAAACCCUGUCUCUACCAAAAAUACAAAAAAUUAGCAGGGCAUGAUGGCGUACACCUGUGGCCCCAGCUAUUUGGGAGGCAGAGGUGGGAGGAUGGCUUGAUCCCGGAGGUGGAGGCUGCAGUGAGCAAGAUCAUGCCACUGUACUCCAGCCUGGAUGACAGAGGGGGACUCCCAUCUUUAAAAAAAAAAAAAAAGAGUUAAUAUUCAAUUUCUGAGAUGUGAAUCUAGAAAGCCAGGCUAUAGAGGAAAAAUGAUUACAAUUUUUUUAAAAUCCCUCUUCUACAUAAUAAGAGGUGGACCUGGUGGAUCAGUUUUCUUUAUGCUUUGGGCCUAUAGAAGAAGCACAUGACAAAGAAGAGGUGAAAAACCCAAAUCCCGUCUCUUUCAGCUCCCCCAGAAUAGUGAGAAAAUAAGGGAGCCAGAGUAGGAGAAAUGGGCAGUCAGAUAUAUUUCCUGAUCCCCAGGCUCAGCUUUCAGUUUGAGAAGGGAUGUUAGGCAGGUUAAGGAAAAUGCUGAUUGCAGAUCACCUUGACCCACUUCCCUUUCACGAUGGCAAAAGGUGACCAUUCACUGUUCCCACAAGCUGAAGGUGACACAUGAAACUAAAUUCAGUGACGUCAUAUGGUUAGGCAGAUAAAGGAUCUUGGUUUAGUCCCACAGGGUUGCUCAAGUUGUGGACAGAAUAAAGAAUUUCUAGUGUGCCUUGCAGAGAGAUGUCAAAGGUAGCUAAGAGUGUUGUCUGAAGAGCUUGCCUGUAUGGGUUUUUGUGCAGUGGCCCUAUACGUGAAGGUUGUGGGGAAGAUGGGUCAAUCUGGAGGAAGAAUGAGUGAGUCUUAGCCAGAACACAGGGUUUCCCUGGGCCAAUGACCACUGAGAUAAAGCCUGGUCAUCAAGAAGAGAUAGCCAUUGCUCCAUAGACCACAUUGCUUCAGCUCUAGGAAAAUAGCCAGGAAUGGGACUAUUGAGUCUCUGUUCACUAGUUCUGGCUGGUGGCCAGUAAGAAUACAUAGGUCACUUGGUUCAUACUUAAUCAUUCCUCUGCAACCACAGGGAUGAGGAAGACACACACACCAUUGCCCCCCAAAUCAGAUAUCAUCUUGGAGACAAGUUGGAGGAACUUAGUGACUAACUGUCCAAGUUUGUCUGGGACUUAGUGGUUUUCCGGUGUGCAGGACUUGUAAUGUGAAAACUGGAAAACUUUUAGGAAAACCAGUAUAAAUUGGUCACCCUAGGAGGAUGGCAGAACUUUGAAAUACUUGAUGUUAUUUUCUCAUCUAAGCAGAAAUUGUGCUACUUACAGAGACAAUUUAAACUGAUGCAUUGGAAUGAUUCAUCCAAAUUGGGAUAAAAUUUAUUCCCUGAUCCUCCCUCUCUUCCACAGCUCUUCAGCACUGUGAGAUCAGAGCAAUUACAGACCAAUUUUAUUACACAUCUGAAUGUAAUGAGAUAUAUCAUGCAAAAGAAAAACCAUCACCACAAUAAAAAAACUAAAUAAACAGCACAACACAAAAUAUAGUAGAACUUCUGCUUCUGCUUAUGAAGGAAUAACUGCUCUAGAAUUAAGCAACUGUUUUCAGACAUUAGACAACAGAGGGUGCAGGACUGUGAUCUCUAGAGCAGAAAAAUAAAUGAGCAUGUCCUAUGAUUCCUGCAGUUUCUCACCUGGAGGCAGUUUCCUGGCCAUAGCACAGGGAGGGGAAACCCAAACAUAAGCCAGCAGUCGUGUUGAGUUAAGAAAGACAGAGACUGACAUUCAGGAAGCAUAAGGCAGCCAAAAUAAAUGGUACAAAUACUGAUGGAGAAGGAGAGAGAGAAAGAGAAAGAGAGGAGAGAAAGAGAGAUAGGUGUGCAGAAAGAUACCCUUGAUUUUUUGGCAGAAAAAAAAUUUUGGAAAAGAACUUCCAGAAUGGAGGCUGAAAAAAUUCCCAAGCUCACGUGAGACUGGAAAUAGAUCACAUCGCCACCAGUCAAAGAGGAGAGAGUUUGUAAUAAAUGGGUAUUGGGUAUAAAAUUCAGAAAGGGCUCUCCCUAGUAGUGGGGCUAAAUUAGUCAUAGACAAACUGUUUUUCUGGCCUUGUCCUAGCAAAGGUUAAAAGCAAAGCUUUGAUAGGAUCAAACUGAUUUGAAGUUACAUAACUGCAUUCCAGAACAAAGUCCCAUGCUAAAUGAAUACAGUAUAAUCCAGCAUCCGAUAAUGUGAAGUUCACAAUGUCUAGUAUUCAAUAAAAAUAUUAACAGGUAUGAAAAGUGGCAGGAAAAUAUAGAACUUGUAACAAAAGAAACAAUCAAUAGAAAGAAAACAUUUCAGAAAUAACAGAGAUGCUGAAACUAGCAGACAAAGACCUUAAAGCAGCUAUUAUAAAUAUGGUCAAUGGUAGCCAGGCGCAGUGGCUCAUGCCUGUAAUCUCAGCACUUUGGGAGGCCGAGGUGGGUGGAUCGCUUGAGCCAAGGAGUUCAAGACCAGCCUGAGCAAUGUGACAAAACCCUGUCUCUACAAAAAAUACAACAAUUAGCUGGGCGUGGUGGCAUGUGCCUGUAGUCCCGGCUACUCAGGAAGCUGAGGUGAGAGGACUGCUUGAGCCCAGGAAGUUGAGGCUACAGUGAGCCAUGAUUGUGCCACUACAAUCCAGCCUGGGUGACAAAGUGAGACUCUGUCUCAAAGAGAAAACCCCAAAACAAACAACAACAACAACAACAACAACAAACUAUGGUCAAGGAUAUCAACAUAAUGAGAAAAGAAAUGAAAGAUUUAAAAAAUAAAAAACUAAAUUGAACCUCUAAACAUGGAAAACACUAUACCUGAAAUGAAAACUACAGCAAACAGGAUCAACAGCAGAUUGGACAUUGCAAUGAACUGGAAAACGUAGCAAUAUAAAUGCCUCAAAAUAAAACAAAUUAUUUUUAAAGCCUGAAAAAAAUAGAGUGUCUUGGCUCAUUUUUGUUGCUAUAAUAGAAUACCUGUGACUGGGUAAUUUAUAACAAAAAGAAGUUUAGUUGGCUCACAGUUCUGGAGGCUGAGAAAUUCAAGGGCAUGUAGGCAGCUUCUGGUGAGGGCUUCGCACUAUGACAUAACAUGAUGGAAGAGCAGAAGGGCAAGCAAGCACAUGCACAAGAGCUCACUAGAGCAAUCUGAGCUUGCUUUUACAAAAACCUGUUCUCUUAGAACUAACUCACCCUUUUUUGUUUUGAGACGGAGUCUCACUCUGUUGCCCAGACUGGAGUACGGUGGCCUGAUCUUGGCUCAUUGCAACCUCCGCCUCCCGGGUUCAAGCAAUUCUCCUGCCCCAGCCUCCUGAGUAGGUGGGAUUACAGGCACCUGCCAUGAUGCCCAGCUAAUUUUUUGUAUUUUUAGUAGUGAUGGGUUUUCACCAUGUUGGCCAGGCUGGUCUUGAACUCCCAACCUCAAGGGAUCCACCCACCUCAGCCUCCUAAAGUGCUGGGAUUAUAGGUGUGAGCCACCGCGCUGGCCAAGCCACCCUUUCAGUAACCACACUGAUCCAUUCAUAAGGAACGGGUUUGCUCUCAUGACUCAAUCACCUCUUAAAGGCUCCACUUUGUAAUAGUGUUACAUUGACAAUUAAGUUUUCAACACAUAAGCUUUUCAGGAACACAUUCAAACCAUAGCACAGAGUACUAGUAACCUGUAGGAAAAUAUCAAGAAUUUUGACAUACAUGUAAUUGGAGUCCCAGAGGAGAAGAAAGAAGGAAAAGCAGAAUAUUUAAGGAAUGUUGGGUAAAUCUUUUAAAACUUGAUGACAGACAUAAACUCAUAGAUCCUAGAAGCUCAGUGAACCCAACAAGAAAUAUAAGACCACACCAGGGCACAUUAUAAACAAAUUGUUUAAAACCAGUUAUGAAAAGAAAAUAAUAAAGGCAACAAGAGGAAUAAAAACACAUUAUGUGCAGAAGCAGCAAGAUAAGGAUGACAUCAGCCUUCUUGUUGAAAAUAAUGCAAGGUAAAUGAUAGUGAGGCAAUAUCUUGAAAGUAUGGAAAGAAAAAUCUGUUGGCCUAGAAUUCUGCACUGUGCAAAAUAUCUUUCAAAAAUGAAGACAAAAUAAAGGCUUUUUCACAAAAACAACAGCUAAGAGACCUCAUUGCCAAAAAAGCUACACUAUAGAAUUUUAAAGAAAGUUAUUUAGGCAGAAGAAAAAUAAUAUUAGAUGUAAAUUUGGAUCCAUAUACAAAAACAAAGGAAUGAAAAGUGCCGGAAAUGAAAAAUAUGUGGGUAAGUACAAAAGUCAAUGUUUUAUUAUUUUAAAGUCUCUCUAAAAGAUAAUUGCUUAAAGCAAAAUUAAUAAAAAAUACAUAUUGGGGCAUAACAUAUGGAAAUCAAAUGCAUGAUAACUGUAGUAUAAAGGACAGGAGGGUAGAAAUGAAAGUGUACCAUUGUGAGUACUAGUGCGAGGCUCUUAAAUUAUACUUAAAGUGGUAUAUUAUUUGAAGAUAGACUAUGGUAAGUUAAAAAUGUUAUCUUAUAAAUCUUGGAGUAAGCACUAAAAAAUAAAGGAGAAUAGCAAUAGUGGAGAUUGAGUGGAAUCCUGAAAAAUACUCACAUCAAAAGAAGGCAGGAAAAAGAAAAAAGUAACCAAAAUAUAUGAGACAAAGAGAAAAUAAGCAGCAAAAUGUAGCUUUAAACCCAAUAAAAUAAAAAAUUACAUUAAACUUAAAUGACCUAAACAUUCCAAUUAAAAGGCAGAGAUUGUCAGACUAGAUGAGAAAGUGAGACACAAAUACAGUAUAUAGAUAAGAAAUUCAUUUAAAUAUAAAGAAGGGUAUUAUUUCAGUUACUUAGUAAUAAAUGCAGUGAGUGGGCUUGACUUUACAGUUAGACUCCAUUAUCGUCAUCAUUGUCCUCAAGGAGGUAGUCCUCUGCAACCAAAUAGAAAUUAAUUUUAGUUAAUUAAUUUUAGUUGGCUACAAACAACUAACUCAGCCAACUCGUGCCAACACAAAAAAAGACACUUUGUCUUUUUUGGAAAGACACAAAGGUACUUCAUGAAACUGUGACUCCCCCUGAGAAACAGAACUAGGAGCUGUAAUGUCAGGAGUGUCUCUCAGUUUCUUUAUGGCCCCUUAGUCCCCACCCCUCCCAAAGUGCUUGGAUUAUAGGCUGUGCCCAGCCUGUAUAUAGGAUUUUAUUGUACAAAUACACUGUAGUUCUUCCGUUCUACUUUUGAUAGACAGAUGAGUUGCUUUCAGUUUGGGACACUGCGAACCCUGGGGUUAUGAAUGGUAUUGCACAUAUAUCCUAAAGCACAGGUUUCACGAAUUUUUCAAGGGUGUUAAAUCUAGAAGUGACUUGCUUGGCCACAGAAAGUAUCUUUAAUUUUACUAGAUACUGCCAAACUGCUUUCCAAAGUGGUUCUACCAAAGUGGUUUACUGGAUACUGGCAAACUAUUUCCCAUCAAUAUUUCAGGAGAUUUACUGUACUAGUAACUCCAUAACAUCACUAGUACUUAGUCUUGUCAGACUUGUUAAGUUUUGCCAAUCCGGUGGAUGUGUAGAAGCCUGUGGGCUGAAUUUGCAUUCCAUUAUUUUCUAAUGAGGUUGAGCACCUUUUCAUUGUUUUUCAGCAUGUAUGUUUCCUCUUUUGUAGAGUGCCUUUUCAAGAGCUCUCUUUCUUUUGGGGCUUUGUAGUGUACCUUUUCAAUGUCUCUCUUUCAACUGGAGUUUGUGUCUUUCUUACUGAUUUGAUGAAAUAUCCUAGAAACAAGUUAUUUAUCCAGUAUUGCAAAUACCUCUUAUUCUCUGGCUUUUCUCUUCCCUUUCUUCCUUUUUUUUUUUUUUUGAGACAGAGUCUCACUCUGUCGCCCAGGCUAGAGCACAGUGGCACAAUCUCGGCUCACUGCAACUUCUGCCUCCCAGGUUCAUGCCAUUCUCCUGCCUCAGCCUCCGGAGUAGCUGGAACUACAGGCGCCCACCACCACACCCAGCAAAAUUUUUCCAUUUUAGUAGAGACAGAGUUUCAGCAUGUUAGCCAGGAUGGUCUCCAUCUCCUGACCUCGUGAUCCACCCACCUCGGCCUCCCAAAGUGCUGGGAUUACAGGCGUGAGCCACUGCGUCUGGCCUCUGUUCCCUUUCUUUAUAGAGUUUUUUAAUGAACAGUUCUUCAUUUAAAUAUGGAUAAGUUUAUCAGUUUUUUCCUUUAUUCUACUUCAUGUAUCUGGUUUAAAAUAUUUUUCUUUUUAUUUUAUUCUAUUCAAUUUUUAUAAAAAAGAGUCAAGGUAUUGCUGUGUUGCCUAGGCUGGUCUCAAACUCUGGGACUCAAGUGACCCUCCUGCCUCAGCCUCCUGAGUGGCUGGUACUACACUGACAUGCCACCAUGCCUGGGCAACAUUUUUUUCUAUAUAUUCUAAAAUAUUAUCCUAGCCUAUCCUGUGUAUAUUUUCCAAUCUAUACUGCCAUCUUAAAAGAUUAUACUUUUGGCCAGGUGCGGUGGCUCACGCCUGUAAUCCCAGCACUUUGGGAGGCCUAGGUGGGUGGAUCAUUUGAGGUCAGGAGUUUGAGAUCAGCCUGACCAAUAUGGUGAAACCCCAUCUCUACUAAAAUACAAAAAAUUAGCGGGGCCUGGUGGCGCAUGCCUGUAGUUAUAGCUACUCCGGAGGCUGAGACAGGAGAAUCGCUUGAACCUGAGAGGCAGAUGCUGCGGUGAGCCGAGAUCACACCACUGCACUCCAGCCUGGGCAAUAGAGCAAGACUCUGUGUCAAAAAAAAAAAAAAAGAAGAUUAUACUUUUGCUUAUUUUUAGAUCUAUAAUUCUUUUUGUGUUGAUUUUUGUGUAAGAAUGUGAGAUAUGGGUCCAAUUCUGUGCAAUUAGCAUUAUUUGUAAAGGGCAAUAUUUGUAAAGGGAGUCAAGACUCUCCUUUCUCACUAUUCUCCAGUGUCAUUUCUGACAUCAGCCAAGUGUCUAUAUGUGUGCAAUCUGUCUCCCGGCUCUCUUUUUUGUUCCACUAGUCUUGCAUCGAUACCAUUUAAUUAACACAGCUUCUUAAGUUUAGAUAUUUUGUAGAGAAAAGAAAGACUCUCAUCUUUUUCUUCUCCAGGAGAGUUUUGUUAUUCUUGGCCUUUGUUAUGUUCCCAUAAAAGUUAUUUUACUUUUUUGUCCAAUAUCACACAGAAAAACACAUGGGGAGCAAGUGGUCUUUAGAGUUUAAUUGGAAUUGUAUAGCUUUAUAGAUCAAUAUGAAGAAAAAUGACAUUUUUAUAAUAUAUAGUUUUCUUACCCAUGUACAUCAUUGUAAAUAUUUCAAUUUAACUCUUAUUUUUAAAAUGUUUUAAAAUUUUCUCUGCAGAGUUGUUUUGUUAAAUAUAUUCCUAAGUAACAGAUAUCCCUGAUGAUGAUAUAAACGUUAUAUAUUCAUUAAUUUUAUUACCUGUUUGUUGCUUUUAUAGAGAAAUACAGUUGCUUUUUCAAUUUUGAUUUUAUAUCCUCCAGUAUUUCUAAGCUCACUUAUUGAUUCCAAUAAUUCAUCUAAAGAUUCUUUUGAAUAUUCAUACACAUUAAUAUAAAAUUAAUUAUAUCAUCUGUGAAAAAUAAUAAUUUGCUUAUCCCAUUCCUAUCCUUAUAGCAUUUGCUUUUCCUUACUGAUUGGCAGGACCUCCAGUACAACACUGAAUAGCCUUGGUAACAGUGGUCACCUUUGCUUGCUUAAUGCCUCUUCCAUACUUUAACAUACUACUUUUUUAUAUCUUUAUGUUUUAUAUUUCUCUUAUAAUGAUUAUAUCCUUGACUUUGACUUUUUUCCUGUCUGACAAUUUCUUAAUCUCUUAAUUGAAGCAUUUAGUCCAUUUACUUUUUUUUUUUUUUUUUUUUUUUUUUUUUGAGACAGAGUCUUUCUCUGUCACCCUGGCUGGAGGGCAGUGGUGAGAGUUCGGCUCACUGCAACCUCCACUUCCCAGGUUCAAGCGAUUCUCCUGCCUUAGCCUCCCAAGUAGCUGGGAUUACAGGUGUCCGCCACAGUGCUCAGCUAAUUUUUGUGUAUUUUUAGUAGAGACAAAUUUUCACCAUGUUGUUCAGGCUAGUUUUGACCUCCUGGCCUCGAGUGAUCUGCCUGCCUCGGCCUUCCAAAGUGUUAGGAUUACAGGCAUGAGCCACCGUGUCCGACCCCAUUUACAUUUAAUGUAAUUACUCAUGUACUUUGGUUUGAGUUUAAUUCACCAUUUUAUUAUGUUCUUUCUACUUGUGUCACCUGUUUUAUUUUCUUUUUUCUUAUUUACUUGAUUAAUUUUAUUUUCUGCAUUAUUUCAUUUUCCUCCCAACUAUCACUUUCUGUUAUUUUAAUAUUUCCCUAGAAAUUACAGUAAGGACCACAAUAUUCCAAAAUCAAAUGUUAAAUUAGUAGAUUUCACUUCUUUCUAAAAAGUACAAGAAUCUUAGAACACUUCAGUUUCAUUUGUUUAUCCCCAACAUAUACGCUAUUGUUGCUGUGUGUAUUAAUUAUAUAUUUAUAUGUGUGGGUGAAACUUUCACAAAAUAAAGUUCAUGGCCAUUUCUUCCAGCUCAGCAACUGCCUUCAAAGCUAAAGUAUCUUUGAGUAUUACACUUAUUUUCUAUAUUUCUGGGGUUUUGCCUUCUGUAUUUGGUCUGAAAUUUUCUCAUUCUGUUUUUAGGUGUUUAAAUCUUUUCUGAAUGAAUAACUAACAUUCCAUUAGGAGACAAUCAAAUUAGUCUAAGUGAAAGAUUAUAAGACCUUGAACAAAAGUAGUGACAAUGUGGAUGCAAUGACAAGGAAAUAUUUAAGAAAAACUAAUGAAGGACUGGUUUUAGUUCCUGAGUUCCUGUGAAAGAUGCAAGACAAAUGUUCCUUCUAUAAUCAUCUAUAUCUCAAAUACUUCCAAAACUUUAAUGCCAGGAAAAAUUUCUUUCCAUUCUAAUUUGUGUGUUUUUCUCCCCUCAGGUUAAAAAGUAAAUAAUUCUCACUCUCUGUAGGUAGCUAGGGGCACAAUUUAAUGCUCAGUCAUAGCACUGACUUAGCUUCUGUGUCUUACUUAGCCACUUUGUAUUUCAGAAUGGCUUUUAAUUGCCUUAUGCAUGUUUAAGUAAUGUUUUAUGUAUUUUUAACAUUUAAACUUUCUUAAUCAUUUUUGAAAAUAAGAAAAAUAAUAAAUUUGGGGGUAGAUUGGUUAAUAAAAUUAAGGUAGUUUCAAAUAUUUCUCUUAUUAAGAGAUGUAAUUUUAUGACUCAUUCAAGCAAAAUAAGUAUUAUAUAAAUAUAGUUACAUGAAUUUGGGGGAAUCAUUAUAUAAUUUUUAAUUUAAUUUUUAUUUUAUCCUCAGCUCCACUGCUCUCCACCUCUGAGUUCUAGUCACCUGAGGAGAUAAUCACAUUCAAUCCUUUUAACAUUCUUUUUUAUAUUUACAAUAACAUUUAAAAAUAAGUGGUUUAUGUGUUUGUCUGUUUUCACGCUGCUGAUAAAGACAUACCCGAGACUGGGUAUUUUACAAAAGAAAGAGGUUUGAUGGACUUAUAGUUCCACGUGGCUGGGGAAGCCUCACAAUCAUGACACAAGGCAAGGAGGAGCAAGUGAAGUCUUACAGCAGGCAAAGAGAGAACUUCUGCAGCGAAACUCCCGUUUUUUAAAACCAUCAGAUCUCGUGAGACUUGCUAUCAAGAGAACAGCACAGGAAGGAUUUGCUUCCAUGAUUCAAUUACCUCCCACCGGGUUCCUCCCAUGACACGCGGGAAUCGUGGGAGUUACAGUUCAAGAUGAGAUUUGGCUGGGGACACAGCCAAACCAUAUCAGUUGAUAUUACUAUUCAUAAUUUAAAAUUUAACUACUAAUUAUUUUUUUCUUUUAUGGAGAUAAAAAUUUAACCCUCUUACACCCUGUCCCUUAUAUACACAUACACAUAAUACUUCCAAUUUCUUCAACUUCCCAAUAUUAUUAUAAUUAUGAUUAUAAUUAUGUUAAAAUUGUUCAAGCUAAGGCACAAAAGGUGAUAUAAGUAUAUUUACUCUUUUUGAACGACUUUUUGUUUUUUCUAGAAUUUACAGUUGUCCUGUUGUUUUCAUGCACUUUUUUUAUAUACCAUGUUUUCUUCCCCUAAGCACUUCUGUAAAGAUGUAAAAUAAAUCACUUUCUCAUGAGCAAAACACAGGGAACUGAAUCUACUCUGUAUUUUUCUCAUCAGUAUCUCUCCUAGAAUCCAUAACCUCCUGAUUUAAUCCGAAUCUGAAUGUAGCUUUCAUCCUGAGCCUUCUCUUCAUCAUAACACUGGAAAAUCUCUGAUCCUGUUGCCUGGAUUUAUUCUCCUUCUCUUUAUUGCUUUAUUCUCUUGCUUAAAUGGAAUGCAUCCUCCUAUAGCUUCAUGAGAAAGAAUAUGUGAAAAGUUGAUUUUUGAGAACUUGUGUGUUUUCUAAUGUCUUUUCUUUUGAUACUUGAUUAAUAAUACCUUUAUUAUGUAGAAUUCUAGGUUGGACUAAUUUUUCCUGAUAAUUUUCAAGGUAUCAUUGUGUUGUUUUAUAGCUUCCAAUUUCGCUAUUCAAAAAAACAGCUCCAUAUGAUUACUGAUUAUUGGUGUUUGAUCUUCUCUUUUCUCCAGCAGCCUUUAUGGUUUAUUUCUUAUUUUAGGUUCUGAAAUUUUACAAUUAUAUUUUAUUUAAUGUUAGUUUUUUCUUCAUUCAUUUUAGCCAUCAAUGGAACCUUUCAAUCUGCAAAUGAAUGAUCUUCAGUUUUCGACAUUUUUCUUGUAUAACUUAUGUGAUAAUAUCACCCCUUUAAUUUUUCUAUUUUUCUAUUUUACUAGAAUUUUAUUAAUCCAUUUAGGCCCCCUAAUUUUCUUUUCUUUCAUGUUUUUCAUAUUUUUGUGCUUUUAUUGUACUUUCUGAGAGAUUUCCUCAAAUUUACCUUGCAUGUUAUUAUUUUCAAAAAAAUCUUAUUGAUUCAAUGCCCACAAACAUUUGUGGAGUAUUUAUUAUAUUGAAGUUACUAUAUUUAAGGCUGGUUGUGGGGAGAAAAACAAGUAUAAAAAGUCCCUCAAUUCAAAAAACUUAUAAUCUGCAAAUUUAUAAGCAAAUACCUAUAAAAUAAAAGCUAUGGUAAUUUGAGUUAACAAAUCUGAAAGUAAAGAAGGAAGAACUGUUGUAACUAUUAUUCUCAUUUCUCAACCAGAAGUGCAACUAGUGAGAAUAUUAGCAAGUUAAUUAAAAAAAAAUAUUACUAGUGGGCACAGUGGUUCACGCCUGUAAUCCCAGCACUUUGGGAGCAGGAGGCAGGAGGAUCCCUUGAGCCCGGGAGUUUGAGGGCAGCCUUGGCAACAUAGGGAGACCCCAUUUUCUACAAAAAAUAAAAAUAAAAAAUUAGACUGGUGUGGUGAUACAUGCCUGUGGUCCUAGCUAUUCAGAAGGCUGAGGUGGGAAGAUCGCUUGAGCCCAGGAGGUGGAGGCUAUAGUGAGCCAUGAUCAUGCCACUGCACUCCAGCCUGGGCAACAAAUCGAGACCCUGUCAAAACACACACACACACACACACACACACACACACACACACACACACACACACACCAAAUUACUAGUGAUUAUAUUAAGAAAGCAGAUGAAUUUUCUAUUCAGAUUGACACUACUGAAGAUAAAACUUUGAUUGACAUUAUAGUUCAGUAAUUCUAAUGUAUGUCUCAGAGCCCAUGCUAGACAUAAUUAGCAUAAGGUUAAAUUCUGGAGAAAAUACAUCCCAUCCCAUUACAGAAUAUUUUGAGAUCAAAUAAUAGUGCUCUUAAACAAGUGUAGGAUAUUCAACUACUGGCACACUCUACAUGAAGAAAUCACUCAAUUGGUUUUUGUCCUGGUUAAAAAAAGAGUCAUCUAACCAAGGUCACAUAUGGGAUUAUUCACAAGUCUUAAAUCUCGUAAUAGAAUGGAUAAUGGGGACGCAAGAAGGGAUAUUUCACAGUUUUGACUCAAAAUGUCUGAGCAGCAUUUAUAAUAGAGCAACAUAAAAGAAUUGCUAUUUGACACAAACAGCGGGAGACUCUGAUCCACUUUUCUCAGUAUUAUGGAAGCAAGACAGGGUUGGUUCUAGAAAAGGAAGUUGAAAGACAAAGCUGUUUUGCUGUGAGAAAACCCACUCAAGUAAAUAGUGGCUUUUUGUGCCUCAGGGUCUAGAAGGAAAUGCUAACUGAAAUUGUUGGGUGGAUGGGGACAAUGUUUUGUCUGCAGAUAUGAAAGAUGCUCCUCUGCGGGAUAUGCUGGCAUUUGACAUUGCUAAAGAAAGCUUAACUGUUCUGUGACUACUGUUCUUAACUGGAAUCCUUCCAUUUCAAGGACCUCUCAUCACUGGGCCCCAGUCUUGGGAGUAGCUUUGAGAAAGUGGUACAGCACAUAGCUUUGUUGAGUUUUUGUGGUCACAAUCUAUAACAUUGCGUCCGCGUCAUAGCUAACCCAAGUUUUGUCAAGGGAUAAACCUGCACUAGGGCUGUGGACAGCAAAAUGAAGCAUGCUUCUGCAUGUCUAAAAUAAGUGGAUUAGGCAACUCAUUUCAUUGAUUUAACUGAAUCAGACCUCUGUAAAACUGAUCCAAACAGCUAUGUGGCAAUUAGCUGGUUGCACGCCAUAAAAAUUGAGUGGUUCAUGAGUGGUUUGUAUGUUUAAUGGAUUUCUUCCUUCAAAACAUUAUUUUUGUAUCUUAAAAGCUUAACACAGUGUUUGGCACAGCACAGGUGCUCCAUAAACAUUUGUUAAAUGAGUUAGCUCUAAGAAGUCAGACUAAGCAAUUUAGUUCCACUCUUACUACCUGCUGUGCUAAAACUCUCCUUGGCUGAUUACAUAUGACACUUACAAAACCUUUGUUGUUUUUUAUAUUGCAUUUCAUCAGUUCCUAUUAGGUUUAAGGAAAAGAGGUGGAAAUAGUUUUUCGGCAAAUAUUUACGGAAUAUCUACCAUGUUCAAUGCACUGUAGAAUUCUGAGACCAUCUUUGCCCUACAAUAGCUUACAUCCUCAAAGAGGAGAUAAGAGAUAUACACACAAGCACAGUCUCAGAAUUACAGAUCUCUAAUUAAUAAAUUUAUUCACAUGCAAUUGGUAUGCUCCAAAUAUUAUAUAUGGGGUACAAAUCCCCUUUUGCUUAAUGCUUAAUAUUGUUUAAUGUUGAGACUAAAAUGACUCUAGGCCAUCCCUGGCUAUGAGUAACAGGUUUUUUUUUCAGAGUUCACUUUGCUAAGUAUUUCUAGAAAAGUUCUGGGGGUUGCUGUGGUGGUUUAUUUUCAUUUGUCGUUUCUUGAGUAUAUUCUCCUCUUCUAUCUGCCAGCUCUGAGCACCAGGACAUUGACCUCUGCUGGCUGCACUCUUACACCGCUCACGUUCCAUGAUCCAUGGGCUUCUGGUUGGGUUGGGCCAAUGGGAGGCAGUGGCAGGAGAUGGGAGAGGGGAGUGUAGAGAGAAAGAAUGGAGUUUUCACCCCUCUUCCUCCCUGCCUUGGAGCUGUUCUGAGAGCAGCUGCAUAUCUCUCAGCUAUAGGUCCCGUCUGGAGACCCACCGCUCAGCUCACUGGAGGCUAUGGUAGCAUCAUUCAUCCCUUGCCCCUCGUGAUGGUUAAUGCUAUGUGUCAACUCAACUGGGCCACCUAGUGCCUAGAUAAUUGGUCAAACAUUUUUCUGGAUGUGUCUGUGAAGAUGUUUCUGGAUGAGAUUAACAUUUGAAUUGGUAGACUAAGUAAAGCAGAUUGCCCUCCUCAAUGUGGGUGGGCUUCAUCCAGUCAAUUGAUGUCACAAUAGACAAAAAGAUUGAGUAAGAAGGAAUUCCUCCCAUCUGGGUGCUUGCACUGGGACACCAAUCUUCUGCCUCUGGACUCAGACUUGAACUGGAACUUACAUCUUCAUUCUCCUGGGUCUCCAGCUUGCUAACUACAGAUUUUGGGAUUUCUCAAUCUCCAUACUCAUGUUAACCAAUUCCUUAUGAUAAAUCUCAUUCUAUAGAUGAAGAGGUAGGUAGGUAGAUAGAUACACAGACAGACUGACAGACAGACAGAUAGAUAGAUAGACAGACAGAUAGAUAGAUAUAGCUUCCCACUGCUUUCAGCCUCUGGGUGCCUCAGCAUUCCUUGUUUGUUCUCUGGCUGCAUUCUCAUCAUUGUAAAUAGUCCUUCAAAAAAGUUUCUCAAAAUCACAGUUGAAUUUACCAUCUGUUUUCUGCUGGGAGACUCAUACAGUUGCUCAUGAACAUCAAUGAAAAUUCAUGAUGCCAGUUAGGAGGGUACAGGAAUUCAGACACCCUGAGCUCAGAGGCACAUUAAGGCCCACUUCCAAAACUGCUGGCCUCCAGACACUCCCACCCGCAUCUCUAGGUUUGUUCAACAAGGCCCCAUCUCCCUCAUUUGAGUGAAGGUUUGAUGUUGCCUAGAAAAUAAAUAAUUUGGAUAGUUCAUUUACUAUAACAGAAUUCCCCAAUCUGGAGGUGCUGGAGAAUGAAACUGAUAUGUAAAGAUUUGGUUUGACAGUCACGCAUCACUUAACGACAGGGAUGCACUCCGAGAAAUGUGUUGUUAGAUGAUUUUGUCAUUGUGCAAACAUCAUAGACCUAGAUGGUACACAGACCUAGAUGGUAGAGCCUACUACAUACAUAAGCUAGAUGGUAGAGCCCAUCACUCUCAUGCUACAAACUUAGACAGCAUAUUACUGAACUGAAUACUGUAGGCAAUUGGAACACAAUAGUAAGUAUUUGAGUAUCUAAACAUACCUAAACAGAGAAACAGUACACUAAAAUACAGUAUAAAAGAUUAAACAAUGGUACACCUGUAAAGGGCACUUACUAUGAAUGGAGCUUGCAAGACUGGAAGUUGCUCUGGGUGAGUCAGUGAGUGAGUGGUGAGUGAAUGGGAAGGCCUGGGAUGUCACUGUACACUACAGUAGACUUUAUAAAUGCUGUACACUUUGGCUACACUAAAUUUAGAAAAAAUUUUCUUUUUUCAGUAAUAAAUUAGCCAUAGCUUACUAUAACAUUUUUACGUUAUACACUUUUUAAUGUUUUUAACUUUUUGACUCUCUUGUAAUAACACUUAGCUUAAAACACACAUGUUAUAUAGCUGUACAAAAAUGUUUUCUUUAUGUCCUUAUUCUAUAAGUUUUUUUCUAUUAAAAAAUUUUUAAACAUACGUGUGCAUGUGUCUUUGUAGUAGAAUGAUUUAUAAUCCUUUGGGUAUACACCCAGUAAUGGGAUUGCUGGGUCAAAUGGUAUUUCUAGUUCUAGAUCCUUGAGGAAUCACCACACUGUCUUCCACAAUGGUUGAACUAAUUGACACUCCCACCAACAGUGUAAAAGUGUUCCUGUUUCUCCACAUCCUCUCCAGCAUCUGUUGUUUCCUGACUUUUUAAUGAUCGCCAUUCUAACUGGCAUGAGAUGGUAUCUCUUUGUGGUUUUGAUUUGCAUUUCUCUGAUGACCGGUGAUAAUGAGCUUUUUUCCGUGUGUUUGUUGGCUGCAUAAAUAUCUUCUUUUGAAAAGUGUCUGUUCAUAUCCUUCACCCACUUUUUGAUGGGGUAUGUUUAUUGCAGCACUAUUCACAAUAGCAAAGACUUGGAACCAACUCAAAUGCCCAUCAAUGUUAGACUUUGGAUAAAGAAAAUGUGGCACAUAUACAUCAUGGAAUACUAUGCAGCCAUUAAAAAGAAUGAGUUCAUGUCCUUUGCAGGGACAUGGAUGAAGCUGGAAACCAUCAUUCUCAGCAAACUAACACAGGAACAGAAAACCAAACACCGCAUGUUCUCACUUAUAAGUGGGAGUUGCACAAUGAGAACAUAUGGCCACAGGGAGGGGAACAUCACACACCGGGC
rnacentral:lncRNA from 1 species